rnacentral:lncRNA from 1 species
UGAAGCCAGUGGGACUUAUCCUGAUUAAGUCUCUUACUGAACUAGGGUGAAAGUGAGAGACGGAUAAUCCUGAGCAACCUUCAAGUCUGGCAAGCAGGCACCGAGACUGGUUCAGCCAGUGAAAUAUGAAUAACAGCUCCCCAGCUAGUUAUGUCUAUAAGCACAAUCUCAAAUGGUGCCAAUAUCUUUAUUUAGCAGAUGAAUCAUACUGGAGAAAUGCACUCUGCUAAAGCAGGUAGCUAUGUGUAAUCUAAAAUAGCAAAAACACAAGUUUAUUCCAUUCAAUACCUCUGCUUUAUGCUUUCUUCUCUUAAGCUCUGAAGUUUGUGAGUACUCUGUUUUAUGUUGGUUUUACAUCGCAAAGGGACCUGCUGCUGGCCAGAGCCGAGCCUGUGAGUGAUGCUGGUUGCGCCUCUGUCAGAUCAUAGUUAAGAAAGGCCUGUGUCACAGCAGCUGGGAGAGCAAGGAGUGAGAACCAGCCCUGCAGCCCUCAAGGUCAGUGCAGGAGGGCAGGAGGUGCUCCAGGCACACAGCAGCAGUUCCCUUGCGGCCUGUGGAGAGGCCCCUGGUGGAGCAGGCUGUCCCCCUGCAGCCCAUGGGUCCCACACGGAGCAGAUCUCCACGCUGCAGCCCGUGGAGGAGCCCCCGGUGGAGCAGGUGGAUGUGGCCUGGAGGAGGCUGCGGCCCAUGGAGAGCCCCCGCAGGAGCAGGCCCCGGGCCGGAGCUGCAGCCCGUGGAGAGGAGCCCACGCAGGAGCAGGGGGUCUGGGGGGAGCUGCCGCCCGUGGGGGACCCGUGCUGGAGCAGUUUGCUCCUGGGGGAUGGACCCCGUGGCACGGAGCCGUGUGGGAGCAGUUCUUGAAGAGCUGCUGCCUGUGGGAAGCCCCUGCAGGAUCAGUUUGGGAAGUGGUUGUUGGUUGUUUUUGUUUGUUUGUUCUUUCCUUGGCGGGGUGCAUCUCCUAGCAGCCGGUGGUUACGGAUCCAUGCAAUGUUUGGGCAUGCUAUGUUCUGGCGGGGGAAGCCCUGCUUGUGAAGUGGCACGGAAAGUCAGCUGCAGGGUUUUGGCCUUGCCAGGAGCUUUCACUGACUGCAGGAGAUCAGUUUCUCAAGCAAAACUCCGUGCUUUGGAUCAUUGA